GGGUUGUGAGGUUAAGCGACUAAGCGUACACGGUGGAUGCCCUGGCAGUCAGAGGCGAUGAAGGACGUGCUAAUCUGCGAUAAGCGUCGGUAAGGUGAUAUGAACCGUUAUAACCGGCGAUUUCCGAAUGGGGAAACCCAGUGUGAUUCGUCACACUAUCAUUAACUGAAUCCAUAGGUUAAUGAGGCGAACCGGGGGAACUGAAACAUCUAAGUACCCCGAGGAAAAGAAAUCAACCGAGAUUCCCCCAGUAGCGGCGAGCGAACGGGGAGGAGCCCAGAGCCUGAAUCAGUGUGUGUGUUAGUGGAAGCGUCUGGAAAGGCG
rnacentral:rRNA from 1 species